rnacentral:rRNA from 1 species
UACGGAGGGUGCAAGCGUUAUCCGGAUUCACUGGGUUUAAAGGGUGCGUAGGAGGGCAGGUAAGUCAGUGGUGAAAUCUCCGGGCUUAACCCGGAAACUGCCGUUGAUACUAUUUGUCUUGAAUAUUGUGGAGGUAAGCGGAAUAUGUCAUGUAGCGGUGAAAUGCUUAGAUAUGACAUAGAACACCAAUUGCGAAGGCAGCUUACUACAGGAAUAUUGACACUGAUGCACGAAAGCGUGGGGAUCAAACAGG